UUUCAGUUCCCAUCUUGCGGGUUGGGAUUUUUUACGGCUCGUUUUAAAGCCUGUGUGGGAUGGUGUCUCUCUAGGCUUCAGUUUCAUGUUGUCCUCCCUUUGCUCCGGUGUUGGCUUCAGCGACAGCGGAGUUGAGCGGACUGCGGCAAUAUCAGCGAACAUGGAGGAUCCAAAAGACCUGACUGUAAUUUUUUCUUUUGUUAGAGUCUUCUAUGUAAUGUUAGUUGGACACCUGUCCACUCUGUAUUCUUCUAGGAGGUGCCUGUCUUGUCUGUGUACUUACACAUUGUCCCGUUCUAUUAAUACAGGUACUUUUCAGACCCCAUGCUCAUCCCUCUCAGUUGCUCGUCUCCUCCCCUCUCUUUCCCUGUUUGAGCGCAGCGGCGGCAGCGAGAUGCGGCCUCCGAGAUCCUCCUCCUCCUCCACACGAUGCGGCGGCUGCGGCCCUUCUCUUCCGCACGACGCGGCUGGGGGCAGGCCCUUCUCUUCUUCCCGAGGCGGCUGGGGGCAGUCUCCUCUUCGCAUCGAGGGCGACGAGAUCCACCGCGGCACCAUGGUCGUCGUCAAGGGGACCACGACGGCCGAAUCCACAGCAGCCUACGGGAUCCUCGGCGUGUGGGUGAAGUUGAAUCGAGUCAGUCUUCCCCAACCCACCCUAGCCCCCAUCACCAACCCUUCCCCUAUGUCUGGAUCUAGAAUGACCAGAAGCUCGGCACCAUCAAGGCCAACACGUACCACAAGAGCUCUGCCUCCUCCUCCCCUGCGCAUCCCAUCAAGAUGCUUUUGUGCAUAGACCAAUGAUUUCUGCUUGUGGAGCUGUGAACUUCUCAAUAAAGCGCGGGUAAAUAGACAACUUUUUGUUGAUUACUUUGUAGCUAUUGACCUGGUAGCCAGAGAGCUCACUUCCCUGCAACUCCUGGACUAAGUAUCCUACCUAUCAUGUCUUGGCUUCUAUUUGUAGAUUACUUACCUAUCAUGUCUUGGCUUCUGUUUUUAGAUUAAUUACCUAUCAUGUCUUGGCUUCUGUUUGUAGAUUACUUUGUUGCCUGGUCUUUGUUCUACUUGUAGUAUAGAUGUCCUGAUGUGUUAGGUUUUUAGAUAAAAUAUAAUCUGAUUAGAGAGACAAUAAUCAGUUAGUUAUAAUCAGUUUAUUGCUAUGUGCUGUAUUUGGUAGCUGUCUUCUCAUAUUUAGCCCUGUUUCUGAAUUGUUACAUCUUGCUUAGGUUAUUGACUUAUUGGUUUUGGAAAAGUAGUUGAAGAAGGGAUCAGUCCUUGAUGUCUUCUCAUAGUAAGUAUCAUGCCCAGCACAGAUCAAUGCCAUAAGAAAAAAAAUAUUAGUCCAGAUGAAUAAUAUAUUUUGUAGAGAAAAGAAUGGUCUCUGUUUUCUUUCAUGGUCUCCUAUACAGCAAUGGAUUUAUUGUACUACUGAUGUUGCAUAAGCUCUGUUAAGAAGCAGUGCUUAUUUGCAAACUUGUAUAUUGUUAAUAGUACAUAACUAUUGCUUCAGUAAAUUACGCAGUUUUCUGAUAGCAGUGGUUCACAAUGGUCAUAUGGUGUUAUCUGGAGUUCUAGGCUACAUAGCUCUAUAUAGUCCCAGAGGUAACUGGAAGAACUGAUGGUAAUGGGAUUCUGAUGGUAGGUUAUAUUGCUUUCUGUUGCCCUUUCUCUUCUUAAAGGUCCAAAUAAUAUAGACAGGGACAACCAACUGUUUUCUACCUCAGAUUAAAUUACUACAGUAAAAGCAUAGUAGUAAACUUAGUACUCUCUUGUGCCUGAAAAUUGUUGACUUGAUUUCAAAAUAUAGUGCUCCCUUGUGAAUGUGAAUAUGAAUGUCAAUGCCUCUGUGUUACUGGAUAAUAGUUGUACUAAGUUUGCUUCAUAUUAUUUGCACAAGGAUGGUAUUUUUUUUCUUGCUAAAACAAGGAUGCUAGAUCUUGAUUCUUGGUGAUACUAUUGUUAAUUAGAUGGGCAUGCAUCUAUUUUCUUACAAAGUAAACAUGCUCAGAACAGAGGUGUUGCUCAUGUCUUUAAUCUUUGGCUAUUGUUUUAGGUGAGGUCACACGGUCUGGGAGCAACAAACUGCAGCCUUUCUCGGUACCAUCUUGAUGGCAAAUGUUUGAGAUCACCAUACAAGCAGCAAUUGGUUCAAAGGUUAUCGCAAAGGAAAUGUUAGAUAUUUCGAAGCUGCUAUUAAUUUUGUCAAGUAUAUUUGGCCAUUGAGAUGCAGUGCGGUCCUUAUACAGAUCUGGGGUUGUUUGACUUAUUUUUUAUUGUGAUCCAUAGGACAAUCUAGUGUUGAUAUUUAUGUGUGAAAAUUUGUAUGAAUAGAGAAUACAAGCCCUAUUCAAGGGUCAUUUGUAUGAAAAAUGCGCACUUGUGAUAGAUGUAAUGGAUAAGGUGUAUGUAAUGUUCUCUUUAUCUUU